rnacentral:rRNA from 1 species
UACGGGGGGGCAAGCGUUGUUCGGAAUUACUGGGCGUAAAGGGCUCGUAGGUGGCCAACUAAGUCAGACGUGAAAUCCCUCGGCUUAACCUGGGAACUGCAUUCGAGACUGCAUUGCUAGAGUAUGGGAGAGGGAAGUGGAAUUUCCGGUGUAGCGGUGAAAUGCGUAGAUAUCGGAAGGAACAUCAGUGGCGAAAGCGACUUCCUGGACCAAUACUGACCGCUGAGGAGCGAAAGCGUGGGGAGCGAACAGG